AUACGGAGGGUGCAAGCGUUAUUCGGAAUCACUGGGCGUAAAGGACGCGUAGGCGGGUUGGCAAGUCAGAUGUGAAAUCCUACAGCUUAACUGUAGAACUGCAUUUGAAACUGCUAACCUAGAGUAUGGGAGGGGGAGAUGGAAUUAGUGGUGUAGGGGUAAAAUCCGUAGAUAUCACUAGGAAUACCGAAAGCGAAGGCGAUUUCCUGGAACAUAACUGACGCUAAGGCGUGAAAGCGUGGGGAGCAAACAGGAUUAGAAACCCCAGUAGUCC
rnacentral:rRNA from 1 species